UGCCAUGAUGGUGUAAUUUGCGUCUGAGCCAGUGAACGGUGACGGUAGCCUGCCGUCUUUAAGCUGUCACUCGGUAUUGAUGUUCCUUUAAUUCUGAGCA